AAAAUAGCAAUAGGCAGCCCCCAUAUGGCACUGGUUCAGGCCAAACCGGUGGCCAAAACCGGUCUAGAAAUGGGCGGGAAUUUACAACAUGAGAAAAGGCACCGGUUUGAUCUAAACCGGUGCCAAAAAUAAAAAAGACACCGAUUUGAACCGGUGCCCUUGUUAGAUUUAAAAAAAAAAAAAAACCGGUCAAGCUUUAUCCUUAGCUGUCCUUUAUAUUCCUAACCCUAAAUGAGAACUCAGCUUCAUUCUCUCUUAUUAUUAGCUGCCUCUCUCUUCUCUCUCCUCCUUCUCUCUCCUCUCUUCUCUGUCAUCCUUCCUUCUCGAUCUCUCCGACCACAACGAAACCUCAGAUAUCUUUUCUAUUGUCCUCCUUCUCUGUCCGAUCUCGCUCUCCUCUUCUUUCCCCCUUCUUCUCCGACCUUUCUUCUCCCUUCUGUCUUCUGCCCACCACCGCUACUAACCACCGCUGCCACCUACAUGUUUCUGGGUUUAUUAUUCGAGGUAAGGGUUUACUAACCACCGCCGCCACCUGCAUGUUUCUGGGUUUAAUAUUCGAGGUGUUAAUUGAUGCACAAGGAUUCAAGACUUUGAUUUUGGAAUAUUGUUUUUGAUGUUGUAAUUUUUUAUUUGUAUUUUUUUUAUUUGUAUUUUUCAAUAUCAAUUUAACGUUGAAUUUUAUUGUAUGAUUAUAAUUCAUUGUAUUUUUUUUAUUUUUUUUUUGUAUUGUACAAUAACAGUUUAAUAUAUUGUUAUAUUUCAUUGUC